ACUUAAUUCUAACCCUACUCACAAUAUACUCCUCUUUUCUAAAAACUAACCCUAUAAUACAAAACCUAAUUCUAACCCUACUCACAAUAUACUCCUCUUUUCUAAAAAUUCUAUUUAUCAGAAGACCUGCAAAUUUCACUGUAUCAGAAGACCUGCAAAUUCCUCUCAUUAAUACUCAAACCAAUGCAAUCUUCCAUGUGUCUUCUAUGGAAGAUUUUUCUCUGUAUCUUCCAUGCAACAUUCCAUCUGUCCAACAUGCACUUCUUAAAUGUAUUCAUAUUUCUCUAUAAAUACCACCAAUUUACUCAUCUACCUAUCAUCAACAAAUCAACAAAUUUCUCUUGACACAAAAAUGGCUAUAUGCAGGCCAUGUUUCUCUAUAAAUCCUCCAUAAAAAAUUCAUCUAUAUUUUCAUGUAUCUUCUUCACCAGAGAACAAAAAUCCCUACAUCUCUUCAUCUCACCUUUUUUUUCUCUAAUAUCUGGUAUGGAAUUAAAACCUUUCUCCCUCAAUCCUUGAUGGAUUGCAACCACACCCAAGCAAUUUCUUCCCCCUCUCAGUUACAUUUUUCAUAUUAUUUUCAAAGCUAUGAAUUUGAUUUAUGGUGGAAGAUGCUAAAUAUAUGUUAUAGACAUUUUUGUGUUGAUGGAAGUAGAGGAGUGGAAGUAGACAUUUUUGUUGCAUCUAAGUUGAUAGGAGUUUGGUACUCUCUAAACUGAAAGAUUUAUAAUCUCUGCUGCCCACAUCUUUAUUUAUCACAACUCAAAGGAACAAAUUUUUCUCAUGUUAGUUGGUAGUUGUGUAUAAAACACGAGUAAAGAAGUUUUUGAAGAAGAUACAGGUACUUCCAUCAUAUUCUCCAUGUUUGUUUUACUUUUAUGUUUUCUUUUUCAUUCAUCUUACGCAACUAUUAUGAUUUUUUUUAUAUGGUUUCAAUUAUUAUUAUUAUUAUUAUUAUUGUCCCAAUUGAUUAA